AUGAGAAAGAGAAGACACAUGGACAUGCUUAGUGAUUUACAUGUUGCUCCUGUUCGUACACACCAGUAUUUUUCGGACAAUGGCCACACUCUCGAAUGCAGUCUAUACACAGGAACACAAAUCUAUAUCACUAGUUCACUACAAGAUGCAGGCAAUCGACAUAAGAAAAUACAAGACGUGGGCAAACCAGAAGGUCAGCCUGCAAGGAGGAUGUCUUUCCGAACACUUCGGUUGUCCUUCUGUACUGAUACCACAACAAGUGAGUCAACCAGUAGGCAUGCCUGGUCAAAGGAUAUCUUUCCCAACACCUCUGAUUCCCAACGUACACUUAUCCAGUACCACAUUGGUACUACUAGUUUGGAUAUAUAUAUUAUAUGA
rnacentral:rRNA from 1 species